CAAUGACAAAAUAAAACAUUUUGGUUGAUUUAAUUCUUCGAGGUUUAUUAGGGACUUGAGUUCGUAGCUUGUCGUGACAAUUUUCACGAAAGACCAAACACGAGAUGAGAGAACCCCCUCCUUUCCUAUAUUUAAUUGAGGCAGUAGAGGGGGAGGGUCGGGCUCAUUCUCGCCCUUUCCGAACGGUUCCGAUCUCUGCCGAUGUCCUGCACCGGCGGCAGUGCUGCUGCUGUUCUGCUGCGUGUCCUUCUCGCGUCUCCAUCGUCCAUCUCCGACACCUUUUCCAUCAUGGUGGACGUUUUGUUGUUAAUGUUUUUCGCCAUCGUCGGCCUCGUCUUCCUUUCCUAUAUCAUCUACUUGCUGUGACGAUGAUGAUGAAGACGAGGAAGCGUCCUGCCGAGCCUGCACACAGGAUGUGUGCUUUUCCUCCUCUGCAUCCCUGGUUUCCAUCAUGGACAUUGGGAGAAGAGCCAGGGUCCAGCCGUGAUGCUCGGCUCUUAUGUGGGAGAUGAAGAGCAAUCCAGCUGAGAGGA